rnacentral:rRNA from 1 species
CCUACGGGCGGCAGCAGUGGGGAAUAUUGCGCAAUGGGCGAAAGCCUGACGCAGCGACGCCGCGUGAGGGAUGAAGGUCUUCGGAUCGUAAACCUCUGUCAGCAGGGAAGAACGGUCACUGUGCUAAUCAGCAGUGAAUUGACGGUACCUGCAAAGGAAGCACCGGCUAACUCCGUGCCAGCCGCCGCGGUAAUCCGGAGGGUGCGAGCGUUAAUCGGAAUUACUGGGCGUAAAGCGCUCGUAGGCGGUAUGGCAAGUCAAGGGUGAAAUCCCCGCGCUCAACGUGGGAACUGCCUUUGAAACUGGCAAACUGGAGUGUGUGAGAGGAUAGUGGAAUUCCAGGUGUAGGAGUGAAAUCCGUAGAUAUCUGGAGGAACAUCAGUGGCGAAGGCGACUAUCUGGCACAUAACUGACGCUGAGGAGCGAAAGCGUGGGUAGCAAACAGGAUUAGAUACCCCUGUAGUC